GCGGUACUUCAGCCCUUCGCAGCCCGACGCUAGGGGCCUGGCAGGGGGCAGCAAGAGACCGCGGAUUACCUGAAGCUGAGUAAUUUAUAAAGAAAAGAAGUUCAAUUGGCUCACAGUUCUGCAGGCUGUACAGGAAGCAUGGCACUGACAUCUUCUCAGCUUCUGGUGAGGGCCUCAGGAAGUUUACAAUCAUGGUGGAAGGCAAAGGGGGAGCAAGCGUCUCAUGUGGCAAGAGGGAACAAACAGGAGACAGGAGGUGCCACACACUUUUAAACAACAGGAUCUCACAAGAGCUUACUCUUACAAGGACAGCACCAAGAAUAUGAGGAAUCUGCCCGCAUGACCCAAACACUUCCCUCCAGGCCCCACCUCCAACACUGGGGAUUACAUCUCAACACUGGAUUUGGAGGGGACAUCCAAACUAUAUCAAGGCUGUACAAGAAGCUUGGUGCCAGCAUUUGCUUCUACGCAGAGCCUCAGGCUGCUUCUACUCACAGUAAAAGGCAAAAGGGCAUGCAAAGAUCAUGUGGCAAGAGAAGAAGUGAGGGAUGGGGGAUGCCAUGCUCUUUUUAACAACCAGCUCUCAUGGGAACCAAGAGGGACAACUCACUCAUUAUAGCACCAAGCCUGUAUCCCUCCCAUUAUGCCCUACCUCCAACAUCGAGGAUCAAAUUUCAACAUGAGGUUUGGAGGCUCAAAUAUCCAAACAAUGGCAUUAUGUCAGGAUCAUAAAGCUAAUGUUUGUGAAACCAGGAUCUGAACCCAAGCUAUUGCUUCUAGAACCUGUACUCUUAAGCCCUUGCUUAUACUGCAUUUGAAAUUAUGCUUCAUUGUAUAAAAAGUCCUUUUCACCUCAAGCUUAUAGAGAAGUCACCUUGUUCUUAAAAAGUCCUUUACACUUCAAGUUCAUAAAGCUCAGGCACAUAUA